UCGUAAGUCGUCGCACUCUCGAGGGUCGCGGCGACGAGCUUCGUUGGUCCCAGGAGGGAUCCAGCGGAGUUUCACCAGAAAAAGGAA
rfam:Pseudomonas cremoricolorata strain ND07, complete genome.